AAUCAACGCUGGCGGCGUGCCUCAGACAUGCAAGUCGAACGAUUAAAGCUCUCUUCGGAGAGUGUAUAGAGUGGCGCACGGGUGAGUAACACGUAAGUAAUCUACCUUUGAGUGGGGAAUAACAGUCGGAAACGGCUGCUAAUACCGCAUAACGCAGCGGCACCGCAAGGUGACAGUUGUUAAAGGAGCAAUCCGCUUAAAGAGGAGCUUGCGGCAGAUUAGCUUGUUGGUAAGGUAACGGCUUACCAAGGCUACGAUCUGUGUCCGGUCUAAGAGGACGGUCGGACACACUGACACUGAAUAACGGGUCAGACUCCUACGGGAGGCAGCAGUCGGGAAUUUUGGGCGAAUGGGCGAAAGCCUGACCCAGCAACGCCGCGUGAAGGAUGAAGUAAUUUCGGUAUGUAGACUUCGAAAGAAUAGGAAGAAUAAAU
rnacentral:rRNA from 1 species